rnacentral:rRNA from 1 species
UACGGGGGGGCAAGCGUUGUUCGGAAUUACUGGGCGUAAACGGCUCUUAGGCGGCCAACUAAGUCCGACGUGAAAUCCCCAGGCUUAACCUGGGAACUGCGUCGGAUACUGGAUGGCUUGAAUUCGGGAGAGGGAUGCAGAAUUCCAGGUGUAGCGGUGAAAUGCGUAGAUAUCUGGAGGAAUACCGGUGGCGAAGGCGGCAUCCUGGACCGACAUUGACGCUGAUGAGCGAAAGCUAGGGGAGCAAACGGG